rnacentral:rRNA from 1 species
ACCUACGGGGGGCAGCAGUGAGGAAUAUUGGUCAAUGGGCGAGAGCCUGAACCAGCCAAGUCGCGUGAGGGAAGACGGUCCUAUGGAUUGUAAACCUCUUUUGCCGGGGAGCAAAGAGCGGUACGCGUACCGCAUCGAGAGUACCCGGAGAAAAAGCAUCGGCUAACUCCGUGCCAGCAGCCGCGGUAAUACGGAGGAUGCGAGCGUUAUCCGGAUUUAUUGGGUUUAAAGGGUGCGCAGGCGGCGAGUUAAGUCAGCGGUAAAAUUUCGGGGCUCAACCCCGACAAGCCGUUGAAACUGGCUUG